rnacentral:rRNA from 1 species
CCUACGUGGUGCAGCAGUGAGGAAUAUUGGUCAAUGGCCGGAAGGCUGAACCAGCCAUGCCGCGUGAAGGUCAGUGCCCUAUGGGCGUUAAACUUCUUUUGUGCGGGAGCAAUAAUGGUCACGUGUGGCCAGACGAGAGUACCCGGAGAAAAAGCAUCGGCUAACUCCGUGCCAGCAGCCGCGGUAGUACGGAGUAUGCGAGCGUUAUCCGGAUUGAGUGGGUUUAAAGGGUGCGUAGGCGGGCUGUUAAGUCAGCGGUCAAAUGUCGGGGCUCAACCCCGGCCUGCCGUUGAAACUGGCGGUCUCGAGUGGGCGAGAAGUAUGCGGAAUGCGUGGUGUAGCGGUGAAAUGCAUAGAUAUCACGCAGAACUCCGAUUGCGAAGGCAGCAUACCGGCGCCCUACUGACGCUGAGGCACGAAAGCGUGGGUAUCGAACAGGAUUAGAUACCCUUGUAGUC